rnacentral:rRNA from 1 species
GACGAACGCUGGCGGCGUGCUUAACACAUGCAAGUCGAACGGAAAGGCCCUGCUUUUGUGGGGUGCUCGAGUGGCGAACGGGUGAGUAACACGUGAGUAACCUGCCCUUGACUUUGGGAUAACUUCAGGAAACUGGGGCUAAUACCGGAUAGGAGCUCCUGCUGCAUGGUGGGGGUUGGAAAGUUUCGGCGGUUGGGGAUGGACUCGCGGCUUAUCAGCUUGUUGGUGGGGUAGUGGCUUACCAAGGCUUUGACGGGUAGCCGGCCUGAGAGGGUGACCGGCCACAUUGGGACUGAGAUACGGCCCAGACUCCUACGGGAGGCAGCAGUGGGGAAUAUUGCACAAUGGGCGGAAGCCUGAUGCAGGAACGCCGCGUGCGGGAUGACGGCCUUCGGGUUGUAAACCGCUUUCGCCUGUGACGAAGCGUGAGUGACGGUAAUGGGUAAAGAAGCACCGGCUAACCACGUG